AAGUCGUAACAAGGUUUCCGUAGGUGAACCUGCGGAAGGAUCAUUAAAGUAUUAUGAUUUGGCUAUUUCAGUCGAACGUAUUCUUUGUGAAAUCAAUGACUGUAAUGAUGAUUUGGGGUUUAAAGAUGUUCGGCACUCGUGCUGGACGACCCCGAAUCCAUUUCAAAACAAACUACUAUCACUUUGACUGACUAUUUGAUCAAUUCAUAAUUGAAAAAAUAACUUUCAACAACGGAUCUCUUGGUUCUC
rnacentral:misc_RNA from 1 species